GGCUCUAGUGACUGCCAGCUUAGGUUGGAAUCCUGGCUUUGCCCUUGACGAGCUGUGUGACCCUGGGCAAAUUAUGUAGCCCCUCUGUGCCUUAGUUUCUACCCUUGUAAAAACAAUAAUAAUGUUAUUAUUUUCAUUAACUAACCUCUAGCCUACCUUGUGGAGGUGCUUGUGAUGAUUAAAUGGGUUAAUAUUUAUAAAGUACUUAGAAUAGUGCCUAAAGCAGAGCAGGCACUGAAUAAAUGCCAGCUAUUAUUUCUACUACCUUCACUCCUACUGGCCAUGGGGACACCUCUGGUGGUCCUGCCAUAAGUUGCCAAAGCAAUGGGGGUUUAUUACAAGGUAAGGGACAAUGCCCUCUUUGUAAUAUGACAUCAAAGGCAGGUACAGCUUAUGUCCAGUGUUUUCUGAAAUUACCACUGUGAUGGUUAAUUUUAGGUGCCAACUUGACUGGAUUAAGGAAUAGAGAACUGGUGAAGCACUGUUUCUGGGUGUGUCUGCCAGGGUUUCCACAGGAGACUGGUGUGUGAGUCAGUGGACUGAGUGGGGAAGACCCACCCUCAAUGUGGGCGGGCACCAUCCAACUGGCUGGGGGCCCAGAUAGAACAAAAAAAGGAGAGAAAAGGAUUUCCUCUCUCCUGGAGCUGGGACACUCUCCUACUCCUGCCCUCAGUCAUCAGAACUCCCGGCUCUCUGGCCUUGGGACUCCAGGACUUACACCAGCAGCCCCCUAGGUUCUUGGGCCUUUGACUUCAGUUUGAGAAGUACACCAUCAGCUUCCCUAGUUCUAGGGCUUUCAGACUUGGACUGAGCCACACUACCAGCAUCCCAGGGGCUCCCGCUUGCAGAUGCACCCUAUUGAGGGGCUUCUCAGCCUCCAGAAUCCACCCUCCCUUCUUAUACCAUCCUCCAAAGGACUGAGAUGAGCUAUGAGUCCAUGGGCACCCAGGCUAGAAGGCAAGUGAGUGACCGACACCAUCUACCCUCCCUCCCUCAGGGUUUUGUUACGGGCUCAGCUGGGUCCAGUCUGGCUCCAGCUCCCUUAGGAUGAGUUCUGCCCAGGAGACUCUUUCCUUCCUCACCUAGAUAGACUUCUUUGAAUCCCCCUCUUCCCAGUGCUUCCAAAGGGGGAAUUUAAAUCUGAUUCUUUAAAAAUAAUGAAACACCAGCUGUAUCAUUAAAUUAUUUCUAAGUGGAAUUCAGACUUAAUUUGAGUCUUUUAACAGUAGACUUUUAAAUGAAGCUCCUUAACUCAAGACUAAAGAAUACUACUGAUGUGGGCGUUCAUCUUUGAUGAUGAAGUCCCUGUUGAUAGUCUUAACAUUAGGACAGGAAGAGAAAAAUGAAAUUUUAAACAUACCAUUUACGUUAGCAUCAAAAAACAUCCGAUACCUAGGAAAAAGAUGUACAAGACUUCUACACAGAAAACCAUGAAACAUUACUAAGAAAAAUUAAAGACUUAAAGAACUAUGUAAGUAGAGAAACAUGCCAUAUUCCUAGACACAAAGAUUCAAUGUUAUAAAGAUGUCUGUUCUCCCCAAAUUGACCCAAAUAUUUAAUGCAGUUCCAAUCAAAAUUUGACAAAUUGUUUUGUGGAAAUUGAUGAGUCUAUACUUUAUAUGAAAUGCAAAGGGCCCAGAAUAGCCAAGACAAUACUGACAAAAAAAAAAAAAAAAAACAAAGUUGAAAUAAUUAUACUACCAAAUGGCAAACUUACUAUAAAAUUACAGCAGCAAGUAAGUCAGUAUGGUAUCAGCACAAACUUUUGCCAGUUAAGACAUAAAGAUAUGUGAAUACAGCAAUUGAGCAGAGAGUUUAGAAACAUACCCACACAUAUACAGUGCUCUAAUUUAUAACAACACCACUGCAAGAUAGGGGGGAAAGGAUUUUCUUUACCCUGUGGUGUGGGUCAACUGGACAUUCACAUGGAAAAACAAUGAACUGUGGCCCCUACCUCACACCAGUCAGAAAACUAAACUACAGAAUGGUUGUAGACAUAAACAUGAAAGGCAAAACGUUGAAACUUCCAGAGGAUAUAACACAGAAGAAUAUAUUUAUGCCCUUGAGGACGAGAAAUGACUUCUAAAGUAAAACACAAAAAGCACAAACCAUAAAGAGAACUGAUGAACUGGAUUUCAUUAAGAACUUCUGUUCAUCAAGACAACAUUAAGAGAGCAAAAGCAAACCACACAGAGGGAAAAUAAAUUUGCAGUACAUACAUCCAACAAAGGACUC
rnacentral:lncRNA from 1 species